UACAGAGGUCCCAAGCGUUGUUCGGAGUUACUGGGCGUAAAGGGCUCGUAGGCGGCCAACUAAGUCAGACGUGAAAUCCCCAGGCUCAACCUGGGAACUGCGUCUGAUACUGGAUGGCUUGAAUUCGGGAGAGGGAUGCGGAAUUCCCGGUGUAGUGGUGAAAUGCGUAGAUAUCGGGAGGAACACCAGUGGCGAAGGCGACUACCUGGCCUGUUCUUGACGCUGAGGCGCGAAAGCUAGGGGAGCAAACGGGG
rnacentral:rRNA from 1 species